rnacentral:rRNA from 1 species
AGGAUGAUCAGCCACAUUGGGACUGAGACACGGCCCAAACUCCUACGGGAGGCAGCAGUGGGGAAUAUUGGACAAUGGGCGCAAGCCUGAUCCAGCCAUACCGCGUGAGUGAUGAAGGCCUUAGGGUUGUAAAGCUCUUUCAGCGGUGAAGAUAAUCCCGGUAACCGAAGAAGAAGCCCCGGCUAACUUCGUGCCAGCAGCCGCGGUAAUACGAAGGGGGCUAGCGUUGUUCGGAAUUACUGGGCGUAAAGCGCAUGUAGGCGGACAUUUAAGUCAGGGGUGAAAUCCCGGGGCUCAACCUCGGAACUGCCUUUGAUACUGGGUGUCUAGAGUGUGGAAGAGGUAAGUGGAAUUCCGAGUGUAGAGGUGAAAUUCGUAGAUAUUCGCAGGAACACCAGUGGCGAAGGCGGCUUACUGGUCCAUUACUCACGCUGAGGUGCGAAAGCGUGGGAGCAAACAGGAUU